GUAGGUGAACCUGCGGAGGGAUCAUUAACACGUUUCCAAAAAAAACGUAUCCAACCCAAUAAACACGUGAACAAACAAAACUCCCUUCAUAGUCGGACGACGGAACAAUCAUCAGGGUGGACUCUUUCUUGUCGGUAUGGAACCACGCAACCUUCGGGGAACGCGGAACCCAGCUAUGAAAGUCUAUGACUCGGUCUAGGGACUCAUCGAGGUCUCAAUCCGCUAUGAAGUGUCUUUGCGACCACCUGGC
rnacentral:misc_RNA from 1 species